rnacentral:rRNA from 1 species
GCCCUACGGGACGCAGCAGUAGGGAAUUUUCGGCAAUGGGGGGAACCCUGACCGAGCAACGCCGCGUGAAGGAAGAAGGAAUUCGUUCUGUAAACUUCUGUUAUAAAGGAAGAAAGGCAGAUGAAGGAAAUGACAUCCGAGUGACGGUACUUUAUGAGAAAGCCACGGCUAACUACGUGCCAGCAGCCGCGGUAAUACGUAGGUGGCAAGCGUUAUCCGGAAUUAUUGGGCGUAAAGAGGGAGAAGGCGGCAGCAAAGGUCUGUGGUGAAGGACUGAAGCUGAACUUCGG